rnacentral:lncRNA from 1 species
AAAUUUCUGCUCGGGGCUUCGGGGCGUCAUUUUGACUCGAAGUUCAGCAAAGCACAUAUUGAAAGAACAUGCAGAACUUCGCUUUUCAACGAUAUUUUCGAAGUAAAAUGGUCAUACUAUGCUGAAGGAAAGGUUAGUAUUAAAUUUAUACAUCUUUUAAACGUUUGUGAGUUGUUUUUGUUAAGUUAUUGAGUGUUGUUUGGAAGUUAAAAGUUAAAACGCGUGCUACAACUAUUCAUUGUCGUUGAAUUCGCUUCGCGUUCAAGCGCCCCUGGUUCUCGCUUCGUCGCUUCAUUUCCUUAGUAUUUCUCGCUCAUUUUCUAGCAGUAAUGUGCAGAAAUAUCUCUGCUUUAAUUCAUGUAACUCAUAUUUGUUUUAUCUGCGGUUUCAGAGGAAAGAAUUGACGAGAAAGUGAACUGAUUUAAGUCGUCGACAUAUGUCAAAGACGAAGGCUCGAACCACGCGGUAAGCAUAUGGGCGCCAUUAGAGGUUUUUGCUUUUUUUAUUGCUCUUUUUUAAGCUUCCCUUGUACAACUUUUACUGUUGAAGCCUCACGAACGCGCUGAGUUAUGUUUAGUCGGAAAAUGUGUUGAAAAUUUUAUCCGUAUUAUAUAUUGAGUGUAAUUCCGAAUCAUUUUAUUAGGCAUGUUUAAUUAUACAUGCAUACUUCUUGUUUGUUGCUCGCUUUCUGGACUUUUUCGUACCCAACUAUAGAAUAUUUCGUAGCAUUACUCGGCUAGAACCGAAAAUUUGAGUUAAGUUUAGUAAAACUUUGCGGCUUUGGUGAAAAUUUUAGCGUUGGUAACUCGUGGGAAAUGCCGGAUCCAUAUAUUUCAGGAUCGGAAUUUUCAAUGACGCAUAUAUUUCCAAACAUUUUAGCUUGUUUGUAGUUUAUGUACAAAAUAGUGUCGGAGAGGAAAAGGUUGAACUUUUAAUUUUUUGAGAAUUUCUAAGUUGAAUUUAAUCCGAAUUUUUUUUGAUGAAAUUUAAAAGGUCAAGUGGCUUCUGACAGCAUGCAUGCACGAAUUUUUUCAGAUAAAUUGAUGGGCCGGGAAUAUUUAGUUAAAGGGGCAAUGUCACCGAUUUUUGAGCAAUUUUAACCCUCGCAAAUUUUGCCCAAAACUGAAAAAGAAUGAGUGUAAGCACAAAAUAAAGCAAUAACAGACACAAAAAACAUGGACAGAAGUCUGGAUGGGCAAGAUUACGCCAGGAUUGAGAUGGAUUGUAAAUGGCAUCUUCAUUAAUUGUUGGCGGACACUUUUUCAAGUUUUAGUCAAUUUUUUAUGAAAAUGUCAUGUUACGUGUUGCGUGGAAGUUCAAAGUUGUUUAAUAUGACUCCUAUAUCAUAACUUAAUCCAUUUACAAUGUUUAUUUUUAACUUUGUAGUUCAGUUUUUGAAUAAAAGGCAUUUUAGGUCAAAAAUCUGUGACAUUGCCUCUUUAAAGCCUAGCUAGUUUUCAUUCAAUCGUAAAUAUCGCAAGUGACACGUCGCAAGACUCGUAAAAAUAGCAUGGUUGCGAUUUCUGCGAUUGGGAUUGGUCCGAUGCUUGCGAUGACACGACUCUAAAUAGAUCAUCAUUGACUGUGAAACAUUGAAAUUGACAAAAGUUUAUUUUUCCAAACUUUUUAGGCAGCCUCAAGACCAAUCAUCUUGCUUUGGAAGAGACAUUAGCAUUGCAUUCAAAAGACAACAACUGAACGACAAAACCAGCUAGUCUCAGUCUAGACCUAGGCAUUCAUCGUCCGAUUUCGUCUGUGCCAAAUUUGGAGGGAUCGCUACUCGCGCAUGAGGUGUGAAGUCGCAACUGGUGAUGCAUCGGAGACUGUAACUAACGCACAAAAACCUCCGUGUGACAGUAAUGGGCAAAUAUAACAGUUGAUGUAAAGACUGCAAUCCACUACCAGUACUACCGGCGCUGUGCCAUCCAGGGAUGCUAACCAGAGACACUGACAGCACGUCGCAUCAUUGUCUGAGAAGUGAAGCAUCGAUGCAUACUACUUCGCCUACAAUACUUGCAACAACGUUGUAAUACACAAGGUAUGUACAAUGUAAAUUUCCUUGCGGUUUGCCGGGCAGCUGCCUGUAUUAAAAUAACUACUUUCUCACUCUGAUAACUGCUGGGCCGCCCAAAGGUGACGGGGGUGGACACUUUGCCCCGGGCCCCUCCCCCCAGCUCAAAAAGGGCCCCAAAAGCGACGAAGGCCUUUAAAUGUUUAGAUAGAAGAUCAUUGCUUAACUGAGAAUAUAAAUCCUAGUUGCGUUAGCGUCGCAUAAUAUGCAAUAAAAUGUAUAUAUAUAUAUAGUGUAAAACACCGCUUCUGCCUUUACGAUUAUGACGUCAUAGGGGGGGCUUGAAAAGUUAUGCCCCAGUCCUCGCGCAACCUCUCCGCGACCCUGACUGUAGGUCCAUCGGAUUCUGUGACUUAUGUAUGCUUUCAUUUCUUUCAUUGCAGAUUCUCGUUAGUCGUGUUCGAAAAUACGUGGGGCCACCCUGAGGACGCUCAUUUGCACAAAACAAAUUUAAACCUGGCGCUUUUUUCGAUGAUUUCGACAAUUUUUUCACAUUUCUUAGUUUUUGUGAGAAGCUCUUAAUGAAAUCGAAAAGUUUUGAAAUUCGGAAGAUUUUAUCUGGG